GCCGAAUUCUAGCGUAUAUAAGGUGGGUAGACCGGGCACCGGUACCACAACCUACCAGUGAAAAGUCUGAUAAGCCUCGCUCUCCUCACUUGAACAGAACGCAAUGCAUCUUUACUGGGUACUUUUGGCGGCCGCCCUGGCCACUGGAGUAGCAGCUGGCGGCUACGGUCACGCAUCCCUUUCUUAUAUCUCCAAACCAGUAGUCAGGGUUGGCUAUGUAUCCAAGCCAAUUGUGACGUAUGUCAAGCAGCCGGUGGCCACGGUAUCCCACGUAGUCAAGCCUGUACUCACUAUCAGUCACGGCUACGGAGGUGGCUAUGGAGGCGGGUACGGAGGCGGCUACGGAGGAGGAUAUGGUGGCGGAUACGGUGGCGGACACGGAUACUGGCGCUAGCCUCUGGGCAGGCUUUCACCAAAAAGGGCGCCAUUCUAUUUUCACCCGACGCCCGAACGCCAGCGAUAAUUUUCACUGCUUUCAUGAUUGUUGCUUUCUCUUGUGCGAAUGAAUAAACCACUACGCAUCUGCA